CUGGGAUAAGCCUGGGAAACUGGGUCUAAUACCGGAUAUGACCUUCCAUCGCAUGGUGGUUGGUGGAAAGCUUUUGUGGUUUUGGAUGGACUCGCGGCCUAUCAGCUUGUUGGUGGGGUAAUGGCCUACCAAGGCGACGACGGGUAGCCGGCCUGAGAGGGUGACCGGCCACACUGGGACUGAGACACGGCCCAGACUCCUACGGGAGGCAGCAGUGGGGAAUAUUGCACAAUGGGCGAAAGCCUGAUGCAGCGACGCCGCGUGAGGGAUGACGGCCUUCGGGUUGUAAACCUCUUUCAGUAGGGAAGAAGCGUAAGUGACGGUACCUGCAGAAGAAGCGCCGGCUAACUACGUGCCAGCAGCCGCGGUAAUACGUAGGGCGCAAGCGUUAUCCGGAAUUAUUGGGCGUAAAGAGCUCGUAGGCGGUUUGUCGCGUCUGCCGUGAAAGUCCGGGGCUCAACUCCGGAUCUGCGGUGGGUACGGGCAGACUAGAGUGAUGUAGGGGAGACUGGAAUUCCUGGUGUAGCGGUGAAAUGCGCAGAUAUCAGGAGGAACACCGAUGGCGAAGGCAGGUCUCUGGGCAUUAACUGACGCUGAGGAGCGAAAGCAUGGGGAGCGAACAGGAUUAGAUACCCUGGUAGUCCAUGCCGUAAACGUUGGGCACUAGGUGUGGGGGACAUUCCACGUUUUCCGCGCCGUAGCUAACGCAUUAAGUGCCCCGCCUGGGGAGUACGGCCGCAAGGCUAAAACUCAAAGGAAUUGACGGGGGCCCGCACAAGCGGCGGAGCAUGCGGAUUAAUUCGAUGCAACGCGAAGAACCUUACCAAGGCUUGACAUGAACCGGACCGCUGCAGAAAUGUGGUUUCCCCUUUGGGGCUGGUUUACAGGUGGUGCAUGGUUGUCGUCAGCUCGUGUCGUGAGAUGUUGGGUUAAGUCCCGCAACGAGCGCAACCCUCGUUCUAUGUUGCCAGCACGUGAUGGUGGGGACUCAUAGGAGACUGCCGGGGUCAACUCGGAGGAAGGUGGGGACGACGUCAAAUCAUCAUGCCCCUUAUGUCUUGGGCUUCACGCAUGCUACAAUGGCCGGUACAAAGGGUUGCGAUACUGUGAGGUGGAGCUAAUCCCAAAAAGCCGGUCUCAGUUCGGAUUGGGGUCUGCAACUCGACCCCAUGAAGUCGGAGUUGCUAGUAAUCGCAGAUCAGCAACGCUGCGGUGAAUACGUUCCCGGG
rnacentral:rRNA from 1 species